rnacentral:rRNA from 1 species
CCUACGGGUGGCUGCAGUCGAGAAUCAUUCACAAUGGGGGAAACCCUGAUGGUGCGACGCCGCGUGGGGGAAUGAAGGUCUUCGGAUUGUAAAUCCCUGUCAUGUGGGAGCAAAUUAAAAAGAUAGUACCACAAGAGGAAGAGACGGCUAACUCGGUGCCAGCAGCCGCGUUAAUACAGAGGUCUCAAGCGUUGUUCGGAAUCACGGGGCGUAAGGCGUGCGGAGGCGGUUUCGUAAGUAGUGGGUGAAGGGCGCGAGCUCAACCCGCGGGCGGCACAUGAUACUGCGAGACUAGAGUAAUGGAGGGGAAACCGGAAUUCUCGGUGUAGCAGUGAAAUGCGUAGAUAUCGGGAGGAACACUAGUGGCGAAGGCGGGUUCCUGGACAUUAACUGACGCUGAGGCACGAAGGCCAGGGGAGCGAAAGGGAUUAGAUACCCCAGUAGUC